UCUUCUUUGUUUAAUUUUUUUUAAUCAGUAUUUCUGAGCUGAUUUUAUAUUUUAAUUUUACUCUUAAGCCUGCACAAGUAAUCAUUCCAGAUUACUACAGAUUUAAGACACUGAAGCAAAAAUAUAAGUUUAAAUUAAUCAGAGCAAUUUAGUGUGUUCAUCACAAUAUUCAUUGCUUUUAGAAAAAGGGAACACUAAUUUAUUUUGUGUAAUCUCCAUAACAAUAGACAUAUUUACAAAAUUUCAUUUUAUAUUAAUGUUAAAAAUAUGUCUAAAUAUUUUAGGUAUAACAAGAUUUUAUACCUUACUGAUUUUGGUGGAGGGUUCUCGUAAAAGUAGUUCAUCAAAUAGUCAGAAGUAAAAAAAGGGAAAAUUCAUUUUAACCAGGUAUGUAGAAGAAAAGAGGUGUUGUCUCUAUAAGGACUCUCUUGAACAGAGAGUGAAAAGAGAAAGAUUACAGCAGAGAUAGAUAGAAAGAACAAGACGACUUUGGAAGCAAGUUUUUUGUAUUAUAGUAAUUAAAAUGUGUAUUUUAAAUAAGAUCUUUUGAAGAAUUUAAAGAACUUUUUGUCUGAAGAUCCAAGUAUGUAAGUCUAAAGAUGAAUACUCAGAUUCUGCAUCUCAAAAUCUAUGCAAGGAUGUUUUAAAUGUGUGGUUUUAUAAUCUACUGCCGCAACAAACUGACUAAAUAUUUUAAGCAAAUUGUAAACUAAGGUCCUGUAGCCGAAUAGAUUGAAUAAAUAUUGCAGUAAUGCAAAAUUAUUUUUGUCAAGUACAUUCAGAAUCUGACAGUAUAUACCUCCAGGAUGGCAAAUGCUUUUUAAAUUACUCCAUUAUUGCUUAAUGGCUCUUUGAACAGUUUCAGUGUUAUGCUGAUAGAUCUGGCAAGUUGUAAGACUUUUCACUUUGAAAUUACUAGAUUGCCUCUAGGGGCAGACUCACCAGGCUGAAACACCCUGUUGUUGGAGCCUGCAGGAAGAAUCAGACUAGGGGUAAAAAGAGAUCAUAUCCUCAUUGGAAGGAAAUAUCACAGACAGUGUGAGCAAUGCACCGUGGGCAAAGGAACCAGGAUUGGGAUCUUUAGGACCACAGCCCCAGGGAUCAGGAACUGUUCGAUGGUGGGAACAGGUGUGUCUUAAAUGAAGGAAACAGACCCUUGCAACUGCACCCCAUGGUGGAGAGACUAUUUUGGAGGCUGGAUACUAGUUCGGCCUGAUCAUGGAAUGGUAGGACGACCAGCAGUGGCUGAACAACUUCUGCAUGCGGAAAGUCACCUUUUUGGGCCUAGCUCACCCCUACCCUCCAACGACGGGACACCCACUUGCGCUCUGCCAUCCCCCUGAACAAGUGGGUUACCAUCGCCAACUGGAAGCUCGUCACCCCAGACAGCUACUGGUUCGGCGUGGGAAAGUCCACUGUCAGGGCCCUCCUCAUGGAGGUUGAGGGGGCCAUCAACUUCGUCCUGCUAUGCAGGGCCAUACACCAAGGAGAACUGGACCCCAUUAUUGCAGGAUUUGCCACCCCGGCGUUCCCCAACUGCAGGGGGGUUAUCAAUGGAAUCCACAUCCUAAUCCGUGCACCACAUUUAGCGGCCCAAUCCAUAAACCACAAGGGCUAUUUCUCCAUGAUGAUGCAGGCCCUCAUCGACCACCAUGGACACUUCAGACAUUUUUGUUGGGUGGUCUGACAAGGCACAUACUGCCCACCUAUUCAGUAACGCCAGCUCUACCACAAGCUCCAAGCUGGGACAUUUUUCCCCCAGCGGGACAUUUGCAUGGGUGACCUGUAGGUGCCACAGUGCAUCGUCAGGGAAGUGGCCUAUCCAUUAAUGUCCUGGCUCAUGAAUCUCUAAACUGGCCACCUGGACCCCAGCAGGAAACAAUUCAAUGUGCACCUCAGCCAGGCCCAAAUGCAGGUGGAAUGCGCCUUCCACUGCCUGAAGGCAGGGCUCAGACGUCUCAUGACCCACCUGGACUUGAGAUCACAUCGUCACAGCGUGUUGUGUUCUCCACAAUAUCGUGGAGAGGAAGGGGGAGGCCUUCCUACCCGGGUGGGGGGCAUAGUCCAGCAAGGAAAGGAGGGCCUUCACACAGCUGUGGACAGCUGCUGUCUACUGAGCACAUCAGGGGGGAGUGCACAACCAUGAGGCCCUGAAGGAGUUUGUCUCAAGGACCCCAGUAACUUUCCCCACUGCCUCUCCACUAGAGGCCUGUGCCUUGACUCCCUAGGGCUACGUCUGCACUGGCACAAUCUUGUGCCAGAAAUAUGCAAAUGAGGCUAAGCGUGGAAUAUGGCCCAGCCUCAGUUGCAUAUCUAAUGAACCUAUGCCUUUCCCACCACACCCCCUUCC